GCCAGCACUAAUUAAGCUUAAGGACUUACAUUCAGAGUAUUCAUUACUCUCCUUAGUCCUGGGAAGGUCUGAGACUUGCACCUGAAUUCACACCUCCUAGCCGGAGGCUUUCCGAAAAGGGAAGGCAAGGGAACAAGAAAUAGCGGUAAGUGGAAGCGUGUGCUUGGGACGCAGUAAUGCUGAAGCUGUGCUUCUGCUCUAUCGGUGGAAACUCUUGUGGUGAGCCGUUUUAGUGGGAUUAGCUUGGCGUAAUUUCUUACGUAACUCAAUUCAGACUAGUCUAGUGCUGGC
rnacentral:RNase_P_RNA from 1 species